UUAAAUAAGUAAUCAGUAAAGUAACGGGAUUACUUUUUUGGGGAAGUAAUCAGUAAUUAGUUACUGAUUACUUUUUUCGAGUAACUUGACCAACACUGAUCCUGAGUGGGUGCAUAUUUCAGCCAUGUGACACAGUGAUUGAUCCACAGCACUGCAGACAGACGUGUUGUGGAUAAGACACUAUCCUGGCAGUACGUAUGGGGCCGAUCGUCAGAAAGUCUGUGUCAUGUCAGUGUGCCUCCAACAUGUGUGUAGCAUAUACAGUAUGUAAUGCUUUGAUGGAUGAGUGUUUUGAUAAUGGUCAUGUUUUUAUCAUUGUGAUGAUAAUGUAAUGCAGGUUGAUGUUCUUUUGUGCUGAGGGAGAAAAAAGAGAAAGCUUGAUGCCUCACAGACCGUGGAAAGGGAAGACAGAGACAGGCCAUUUUAGGCGAACACCCAUCUUCCUACAGUGAUAAUGGUUAUGGUAAGUAAGGAUUUUUCACAAGCAUGAAGACACAAUGCACAGUACAAAGACAGGAAUAAUCACAAUUAAAUAGAAAAUAAAAACUCAUUUGAUGGCAAAAAAAAGACACUCGGUUAACUCUUUGCCUUCUUUCUCUCGUAGUUGAUGUUUUGUCUUUCCGUCAUCUGCCAGGUGUCUGACCUGGUUCUGCUGAAGACAGCUUUUUGUGUUUACAAUGACUUCUUCCUUUCGACUGUUGUGAAGGCAAAGCACAUGGCAACAGUGACCUGGUUUCUCUCUUUGAUGCUUCGAAAUCUACCUGUUUUGAACUCCCACUAUGUCGAUACAUCCACGGGGCUAAAAAAGUUGGAACACUGAGUAAAAU